AUUGAACGCUGGCGGCAUGCCUUACACAUGCAAGUCGAACGGCAGCACGGGUGCUUGCCCCUGGUGGCGAGUGGCGAACGGGUGAGUAAUACAUCGGAACAUGUCCUGUAGUGGGGGAUAGCCCGGCGAAAGCCGGAUUAAUACCGCAUACGAUCUACGGAUGAAAGCGGGGGACCUUCGGGCCUCGCGCUAUAGGGUUGGCCGAUAGCUGAUUAGCUAGUUGGUGGGGUAAAGGCCUACCAAGGCGACGAUCAGUAGCUGGUCUGAGAGGACGACCAGCCAACUGGGGCAUGGACACGGGCCAAACCCCCUAGGGGGGGCAGGGGGGGGAAUUUUUGGAAAAGGGGGAAAAGCCUAUCCCAGAAAUGCCGGGUGGGGAAAAAAGGCUUUGGGGUUGAAAAGCCCUUUUGCCGGGAAAAAAAUCCUUGGCUCUAAUACGGUGGGGGGAUGACGGUACCGGAAAAAAAAGCACCGGCUAACUACGU
rnacentral:rRNA from 1 species